rnacentral:rRNA from 1 species
UUUCAGCAAUGGAUCUCUUGGCUCUCGCAUCGAUGAAGAACGCAGCGAAAUGCGAUAAGUAAUGUGAAUUGCAGAAUUCAGUGAAUCAUCGAAUUUUUGAACGCACCUUGCGCUCCUUGGUAUUCCGAGAAGCAUGCCUGUUUGAGUGU